UGGUGGUUCAGUGGUAGAAUUCUCGCCUUCCAUGUGGGGAGACUCAGGUUCGAUUCCUGGCCA
rnacentral:tRNA from 1 species